rnacentral:rRNA from 1 species
UACGUAGGUGGCAAGCGUUGUCCGGAUUUAUUGGGCGUAAAGCGAGCGCAGGCGGUUCCUUAAGUCUGAUGUGAAAGCCCACGGCUCAACCGUGGAAGGUCAUUGGAAACUGGGGAACUUGAGUGCAGAAGAGGAGAGUGGAAUUCCAUGUGUAGCGGUGAAAUGCGUAGAUAUAUGGAGGAACACCAGUGGCGAAGGCGACUCUCUGGUCUGUAACUGACGCUGAGGCUUGAAAGCGUGGGGAGCAAACAGGAUUAGA